GCCGGGGUAGCUCAGCUGGUAGAGCGCCCGGCUGUUAACCGGGCGGUCGUGGGUUCGAAUCCCACCCCCGGCG
rnacentral:tRNA from 2 species